rnacentral:rRNA from 1 species
GACAGAGGUGCCAAGCGUUAGGCGGAAUCACUGGGCUUAAAGCGUGUGUAGGCGGACUUGUAAGUACCUUGUGAAAUCCCACGGCUCAACCGUGGAACUGCUGGGCAUACUGCGGGUCUUGGGCCAACUAGGGGCAGCCGGAACAAGCGGUGGAGCGGUGAAAUGCGUAGAUAUCGCUUGGAACGCCGAAGGUGAAAACAGGCUGCUGGGGUUGCGCCGACGCUGAGACACGAAAGCCAGGGGAGCAAACGGG